UGCCGUAAAAGCUAUUUUGUACGUUGGUUCUUGUUCUCCGGAAGAAGAAACGAGUAGCAGAGAACGAUGAAGAGGGAGCUUUUCGAUUUGGUUGCUUCCUCCAUUAACGGGUACAUUCAAAUCAUCCUUGCGCUUACAUUUCUCAGCUGCUUCUCAAUCUCUCUAGUGGGUGCUUCCAUCCAUCAAUACCAAAACGAAUCUUUCAUUCAUCGUUCCAAUUCUUUCUUCUUCCAUGGCGGUAGUGAAGGGCUGUAUGCUUCCCAUUUUCACCCUCUCAGCUCCAAUACCACCGCUUCUGCAGACCAAACGCUCGACGGAAUGUCCUUCAUCAGGUUUGAAUCGAUCACAUUUUGGCGAACAAAAGAAUCUGCUGAACAGAAAAAUGAGAUGCAGCAAAAAACUGGGUUAAUUGAAGCUAUUAUUGUGGAGGUCAAAGACAGGACAAAAAUUGGAGGGGCAUUUCUGAAUUCUGAUAUUAUAUGCUGCACCCAGAAGCUUGCGAAUAAUGGAUCUUGCAAAGUAGGAGAAGUUAUUAUCAAUGAGGAGUCAGAUUACCCUAAUGGACCAAGGAGAAUUCAGACUUUCUUUGAAGGGAUAAGUGAAGAAGCUAAAAUGGAACCUACUACUGUUGAACUCAACAAAACUGGAAUGUAUUAUCUGUAUUUUAUGUUCUGUGAUCCGCAACUCCGAGGUACGGUGAUCAGUGGAAGAACGGUUUGGAGAAACCCAGAUGGUUAUUUACCAGGAAAGAUGGCUCCAAUGGUGACAUUCUUUGGCUUAAUGUCUUUGUCUUACAUUGUUCUGGGUCUUGUCUGGUUUCUCUGGUUUGUAAGAUAUUGGAAAGAUGUAAUACAAUUGCACUACCAUAUCACUUGUGUUAUAGGUUUGGGAAUGUGUGAAAUGGCCCUUUGGUAUUUUGAGUAUUCAAAUUUUAAUUCCUCUGGAAGUCGACCAAUGGGGAUUACCACUUUGGCAGUUACGUUUAGCGCUAUUAAGAAGACUGUUUCUAGGCUGCUUCUCCUAGUGGUUUCGAUGGGAUACGGGGUUGUGCGACCGACCCUCGGUGGUAUAACCAUGAAAGUGGUCCUUCUGGGUGCUGCAUAUUUCUUGGCUUCUGAAGCACUUGAGCUUGUUGAACAUUUGGGAAAUGUUAAUGACUUCUCUGGAAAAACAAGGUUCUUUCUGGUGUUGCCAGUUGCUGUACUGGAUGCUUGCUUUAUUCUCUGGAUCUUUUCAUCAUUAUCAAAAACUUUGGAGAAGCUUCAGAUUAGAAAAAGCAUGGCCAAACUCGAGCUGUAUCGGAAGUUUACGAACUGCCUUGCAGUUACAGUGUUGCUCUCCAUAGCUUGGAUUGGAUAUGAGUUGUACUUCAAUGCUACCGACCCAUUGAGUGAGCUGUGGCGAAGAGCUUGGAUCAUUCCAGCUUUCUGGAUUUUGCUUUCUUUUGUUCUCUUGGUAGUUAUAUGCGUUCUCUGGGCUCCUUCUCAUAACCCGAUCACCAGAUUUGCAUACUCGGAGGACACCGGGGACGACGUCGAUGAGGAAGUCGUGGCACUCACCGGAACCGGAAUUAAGGUAGCUGCAGAUUUAUCUAACAAGCUGGAAAGGAAGGAAAGAAAGGCACCAUCUACUACUGCAGAUCACCCUGUGUUUGGGCUUGGAGGAGAUCUUGAGGAAGAUAAAAGAGAGUGAUGCCUCUCUCUGUAUAUUUUGGUGGUAUUUGUUUCAUUUCACUCACUAAGCUGCUUAGAACAGGAGCCCACUGCUUGAGUUUCAGUGCUUCAAAGUUGAAAAUUGCAGCCAGGUUGGAAGGGUAAUGAAGAAAAUGAAGCCUCAACUUGAUAAAAUGAAAAGGAAAGAGGUGAAAGGAGCUGGUUUGAAAUCAAUACAUCUUUCUGUUGGAUUCAGUCACUGUUCUGUGAAAUGAUAUUUCCUGCUCUCAGAUUAUACAAAGAUGGACAUAUGUUUAAUUAUCUGAACUUGCAUAGGCUUUUUUUUUUCUUUUUUCUUUUUUCUUUUUUUUUUGGAAUAUGACAUCAUAUGUAGGGAAAAAUUUUCGAUGCUUUUGAAAAGGUAGAGCUAACUUGUACUGUUUGGUGAACUUUCGUAGGUUAUUUGCAAUGCUAACUUUUGCUAUGAAUUUACUAAAAUUUUAAGUAGUCAA